rnacentral:lncRNA from 1 species
CUUUUACAAAACUGAAUUAUUCCUACAAAGAAUGCCAUAAGUACACAUAUACGCAUUCAGCUUGGACUUUUAAAACACAAAAUUACACAAAAUGUAUUGACAGAAACAGAAAACAAUUUAUGAGCUGCUACCAAAAUCUGCUAUGACUAGUUACCUUAAAUUGAGGUAAUUUUUUUGCCUAUUAGCAUAUUGUAAAAUAGUCUCAAUAGAGAAUGUCUAAAUCCUCUCAGUUAUUAAGGAGAAAAACCAAGAAAGUGGAAGUAAGAUAGACUUGCAGAAAAUAUUAGAAUUGGUUGAUGUAACGAACUUGAAUCUUAAUGCUCAAUAGAAUGAAUGUAUCAGAGCUAGCUUUUACACUUUGGCACACAAGUGAAUGAUCAAACUUUUGCUUUGCCAAGCUAAUACAAAAUCAGAUCCAAUUAGAGCCUUUUUGCUGAGAAGUUUUUGUCCUACCAUGCUGACUUCUGUUUGUUUAUACGCCCACCUACAGUGUUGUAAGCCUAUUGUUCUGCAAUGGCUAAUGGGGCUGUGUCUUCCCUUUUUUCCCCCACGAUAGCAUGUUUAUUUUAGGAUCCAUUAAAUCAUACAUCUUUUCAAGCUAUCUAUAGGAAGAUGUCUGAGGCUGAGAAUGAGUGAGUUAUGAGGUAGAAGAUACGGAUAAUCUUAAGAAACCUUUGAAGGUACAGCGGGGAACACUGGUUAAUCUUAAAUGUGUUCUAGUGGGUGUAACUGAAAAUUAACAUUAACUUUGCAACAGUAACAACAACAACGUCAUAGUAAAGUAGUUUUUGUACUUAAAAGUAUAGUAAAUGAAUUAUCUUUGCUUUUGCCAUAAAUCUAAGGCACAUGGACUUGAAAUAUUGACUGGAGACCACAGGAAGCACAAUUUCUCUUAUGGAAAGAGAUGGCGGAGUUUGGCAUUAAGCUCUCUCUCUUUGCUUAAGAGAUCCAGGCUGUGCUUUUUGAAGGCUUCUGAUUGCAGACGCAGCUCAUCAUAAGCUUUCUGGAUCCCAUCUACCCUGCGCUGAAGCUCGCGAACUCUCAGGUUGCUAUCAACGGCCACUGCCUCUUGCUCAAAGCGUUCCAGCGCAUGCUUCUUAGCCAUGGCUGCUGUCUCCAACUUCUCCUCAAGCUGGCGGAUCUCAGCCUGUUUGUUCUGAAGCACCUUGCCUCUCUCCAUGGACAGCUGCAGCAGCUCCUCUUUCUCUCGCAGGACAGUCUGCAGCCUGGCCUGCAGCUCCUGGUUCAGGUUGAGAUUAGCCUCUUGCUCCUUUCCCAUCUGUUCCGUGGCCUGCUGGUGUUGCUGUUUGAUGCUCUGCAGCUGGCUGCGCAGCUCCUCGGUCUCCUUGGCAUGGUCACAGGCUUGCUGGUUCUGCAGGCCCAGCAGCUCCUCCUCUCGGGCCUGAGCCUGGCUAGCUUCGUGAGCGCAUCUCUGUUUCAAGACCUCCAGUUCCUCCACCAGGGCCUUGUUGAGUGUAGUGAGCUCCAGUACCUUAGCCUCCUGGUCUUUCAGAGCCUGGCUGAAGAGGCUGUUGUUUUCCUGCCUCAGCCUCGCAUUCUCCUCUUUCAGCUUGACGUUUUCACUCUUGUGCGCAUCCUUGAAGCGAAUCAUCUGCUCGUGGUUGGAUGCCAGGAUCAUGAAGUGAUUCUCCAGCUUUUGGAUGUGCUCACUCUGGGCCUUCAACUUCUCCAUCUCCUGCAGCCUCUUCUCCUCCAGCUCCGAGUUGAGCAGUUCUAAGAUCUGGCAGCGUUCCAGGGCCUCGUCGGAUCUGCGUUUCAGGAUGCAGAUGAGCUGGGAUUGCUCUUGGAUGCGGGAGCGAAGCAUUGCCUUCUCGCCCUUCUCCUCCUCAGACAGUCCCCUAAGGUUGGCCAAAGCUUCUCUCAGACCGUCCAUUUCCUUAAACCCCAAUUCCUCAUCCUGGUUUUGCAGGUUUUCGUUUUGUUUUCCUAAGAUCUCGUCGGGGGGUGGGGUAUCCAUCCUAAGAGUCUUCUCCUCCUGCGGCAUAGACGCGCUCUGCGGGAGAACUGACUUCAGUCUUUCCCCCUUCUGAUUUCAAAGGGGCGUUGCUAUGGACGCUUGGCACUCUCCAGCGGUUGGUUUUUCCAGUAAGGAGUCCUAUAAUUGGUGGACAGGCCUGCAGAACGCAGUGAGUUUUCCUCAUCAGAUUCACCAGCCAGUCACUCCCAGAGUAAUUGAGCUAAACUGCAAAGAAGACUCUGAG